AAUGAACGCUGGCGGCAUGCCUAACACAUGCAAGUCGAACGAGCACUUCGGGUCUAGUGGCGCACGGGUGCGUAACGCGUCGGAACCUGAACUUAGGUUUGGCAUAACUCCCCGACAGGGGUGCUAAUACCGGAUAAUGUCUUCGGCCCAAUGAUUUAUCGACUUUGGAUGGGCCCGCGUUGAAUUAGCUAGUUGGUAGGGUAAAAGACUACGAAGGCGACGAUCCAUAGCUGGUCUGAGAGGAUGGUCAGCCACACCGGGACGGAGACACGGCCGAGACUCCUACGGGAGGCAGCAGUGGGGAAUAUUGGACAAUGGGCGAAAGGCUGAUCCAGCACUGCCGCGUGAGUGAUGAAGGCCUUAGGGUUGUAAAGCUCUUUUACCCGGGAUGAUAAUGACAGUACCGGGAGAAUAAGCUCCGGCUAACUCCGUG
rnacentral:rRNA from 1 species